CCCCCCCCCCCCUUUGCUCGUUUCUUGUUGGGUAAGCUCCUUGCGAUCGAAUGUUUGGGGUUUUGAAAAAGAAGUCUCUUCCUUCUCAAGUAACUUUUUCCAUUCAAAAUACAUAUUUUGCCCUUUUCUUUUUCCCUACUAAGAAAUUGAAACCUUUUCUGUGGGUCCCAACAUUCACAUAAAUGUCAGCUCUAGGCCAGUAAUUCAGUAUGUGUCUCCAAAGAAAAAGGUUUUGAGAACAGUAGACUGUGAACUUGCAGAGUAAUCGUAAAAAUCCCUGUUUAGAACAUGGGUAUGUUUCGUCUUGUUUGGCCUUGUGUUUCUAAUUGAGCACAAAUCCUCAUUUUAUUUUUAAAUAUGCAGAUAUGGCCAUAAUCUGCCAGUGACUGCUCAGCAUAGGUAAUCUGUAAUAACAGUCACAGAUUCACUUUAGUUCCUUGUGUGCAGAGUUAAACCUCUUAUUGUCAGUUAGCUCAGCAUCCCAGUUCAUUAUCAGGGAUUUGAAACACCAUUUUUGGUUACACCGGGAUGUGGAACUGCUGUGUAUAUUUUUGGCGUCAUCUAGAUGUUUAAAUUUCUGUAAUAUUAAAGUGUGCUCUAGAUGCUUGUUAACUUCAGAUUAAUUCAAGUAAUUAAUCUGUUUUAUAUAUGAAGCAACUGAAGAGCAAGAGGUUACUGAGAAACUCCCACUACAUAAAAGUGUUGGAUUUUCUUUCCAACCAUUAAUUGAUAUUUCUAAAUUCAGUUUGUGGGAUUUUAUUUUGAUUCUAUCUCUGCUACAUUUUAUUCCACCUCUCCUUGAACCAGAUUUAUUUUACUUCUGUCUCUUUUUCUCAAUUCCUCUUACCUCAAGCUGCUGGGGUUCAGCUGUUCUAGUCCUUUCUAAACUCUCUAUUUGCAGCAUGUCAUCUUGUCUUCCUCUCAGUCCCUGCUGCUCUAGCACUGGGUACUUGAAUGCUCCAGUGGAGCUGUCCUAUUGCUUGGAGUUUAAUAUAGCUGUGAGGAGUAGAUUUGGAGGGAAGAAAAAACCCAAAAAGGACAGUUUCAAAGCUGCUGUUGAAGAUAUUGUGUUGGGGUGAAAUGCAAGAAUCGUCUCUAUUCAUUGUGCUGCUCUUUGGGAGAAUCCUGGGUAGCUAGAGAAGUUCAUGUGUACAGACUCAAGGAAAACACUACGUUAUUGAUGUUCUUAGCAACCCUAAGUGCUAAAACUUAAAACAAACACCCCACCUCCACCCCAUUAAUACACACCCUGUUCCAUUUCCCUAAAGUAAUUUAAAUUGCCAGCUUCUGGUGAAGUUGCUUCCUCCCCUUGUCUCUUGCAUAUCUCUUCCUCAUACCUAAAUUUGAUACGUUUUCUUCUUCCAAAAGAUUUCCCUCUCUGAAAGUCCCUCUGUGUGUGUUUAACAAAGGAUACUGAGAAUGCUUUUAAGCACGGAAUUGAAUGGGGUUUUUUGGAGGUAAAGUACAAAACCAUUUUAGAAAAAUAAAGUCCAAAGUGUAACAGUGCUCUGUGACUUUUAUCUUCAUGGCAGUAUGUUGUAAAUAGUUUCAGCUUCAAAUUGAUCAGUUUUAUGAGGUUUCAGGACCUGCCUCGUUCCUAGUAUGAAUCUUGCAUAAAUUGUUGGGUCAUGUAAAUGUGUUAAUUGUUACCUUUUUUGUUUUCAUACUUUUAUAUAAUUAUAAAGGAGUUAUUGCACUUGUCCAGGAUCUCCAGCUGAAAUUAUGUUGCGAUCUUAACCCCCUUGCUCUAAAUAUACCUAUGUUGUCUUUUAAAAUGAAUUUUGACAAUAUUCUGUGAGAUUUGGAAAUAGAUUGUUAGGUGAUUUAGUGUUCUGUUUCACCUUGGGUGUUUGUAGAAGUCUUUGAGAUUUUUUUCCUGUAAUAAACACUCUAUUUUCCAGUAUUUAUGCAUCAGUAUGUGAAAAUCUUUCUUGUAGUAAUCAGACAUACUCAUUCAUAUUUAGUUUUGAAAGUAAAUGAGGUGUGUGGGAUUUUCUGUGUUAACAUCAUUCCCUGAAAAGUCAUUGUAAUACCACACCAUGUGGCAUUCAGAAAAAAUAUACCUGUGGUUUGAACUAGUGCAUUUGGCAAUAAAUACGGCUUAGGUAAUUUACUUUCCCCUCUUGUUUCUAGCUUCUGCAGUUGUCUGCUCCUUUGGACUGUGGGUUAAUGGCAAUUUAUCAAACUAAGCUUGUGCUCUUAAGGGACCAAAACCACAGAGGGACUGACAGACCACUUGCCCACAAGGAGCCUAUUCAGGGGAGCUGUCCUAGCAGGAAAUAUCUUUUGGAGGGAGUAGGAUAAUUUCUGCUGGUCUAGCUCUCUGAACUGGCUGGCAGGUCAAGCAAAUGUCAGCUCUAGCACAAGGAAGAGUGUGAGAAUGCAAAGCUGGUGAAAAAGAGUGAAAACAAAGCAGCAGAGAUACAGAUAAACUUGAACUGUCUUGGAGUUGCAUCUUUGGUUGUCCCAGUAUGGCCUUUUGUGGGAGAUAGCUCAGGGAACUGAUCUGGCUGAAACCUUCCUUCAUUGUCAUGCAUUUCAUCCCCUUUCUGUGAGAAGGGAGAUGCUGAGACUGGUGGAGCAUAGGUCUGUGAGCAGUUCAUUGAUCAGUGAUGAAAUUAAGGGAGCACCUUCAUGGCCUGGAGGUGGAAGGAAGUGUGGAGAAGGAUUGUCUAAGCUCUCUUAGCAGUGACUUGUAAUGGGACUGUGGAACCACAGAGCAGGGGUAGCUGUGACUGGUGCAUGGAUCUUGAUGCCCUGGUAGGACUUUGUAGAGACACAAUGUGCCAGAUCACAACUAUUUUGAUGCUGACAUUUGUGUUCCCUGUACCAGUCUUGAGUGUUAAGAUCUUUUUCAGUGGUCAAAAGCAGAUACCUAGACACAAAGGCAUGUGGUGAUUUAAUUUUUUUUCCUUCUCCCAGACUCUAAUCAUUCUGUGUUCAGGCACUUGCUGAAUUUGAAAUGGUUGAUGAGAUUGGAUCUGAUAAAAAUGGGGAGUUUGAGGAAGGAAAUAACCCGCAGAUCCCUGAAACCCUCCUGACACCUUUUAUACAGGCAGUUAAUAGCAUGGCAGUGCUGCGUGAUCACUGGAGUAGUGUGAGGUGAUCGCAUGCAUUUCUUUUAGCUGGUGAUGCUUAGCCCUUUGUUAAAUAUUAGCUGUACUCUUGGAGACUCCCUGACUGAAUUAUGGUCUGUGUGGGGGCAGGGAGGGAAUGGUUCACUACUCUUCAGAAGUGAUCCUAGUUUUGGGAGCAAAAUGAGGAUUUCAAGGGAAAACUUUACCAUUCUCAUAAGAUUUCCAAUCAUCUUGAGCUCUGCCAGUGUUUCAUUGAAAUGCUGCUUAGGUGUUAUGCUGUCAAAAUAAACUGAAGUAAUUCAUUUUUUUUUUUUCCCUUUUUUAUGUUAUUGUUGCUGAUUAAAUACUGCAACCUAAGUACCUGAUCUCUUUCUGUUUAGUUUGUUGUAUAGUGGUGGUCUUCUGUGACCUUGGAUACUGUGGAUUCUGAGGAAGAAAUAUGAUACAUCAGGAAGUGUUAGAAUAUAAUAAUAAUCAAGAGAAGGUGUAUAGCAGUUGAAUAAUUCUGAAAUCUUUAUUACUUUUCUUAUCUUGAUUAUGGCUCCUGUAUAGCUCCAGCCUGUGUGUAAUAUGAAUUAGCUGCUGCUUCCAAACAGUUAGCUGUGUUACCUUGUUUUGGAAGUAGGCUCAAGCCUUCAAGUGUUUAACAUGGUUCUAGUUCAAAGGUCAGAUCGUAUUUCUUUGUUCCAAAAUGAGAAAGCUUAUUAUAGCUGUGAUGUUGAUGAAAAAUAAUGAUAAAAAGUGAGUUAAAGUUUAAAUGUAGGGCUUUUUUAUACUGGUGUUUGUUUUAUAUACACCCCCAGCUUUGUCCCCAGAAUGUGAGUGGUACUGUUUGCCUUAUCUCAACCUGCUGACAACGUAGCUGCAGAUUGUGGUUUCUGUUAUUAAUAUAAAUCCAUUGUACAGCAAUUUUACAGUAUAGUAGCUGAAGGCUCGUUCAAGAAGAUCUCUUCUAUGCUCCAACAUUUCUGCUUGUUGGCAGUAUGAAUAGAGGGAAGGAGAAUUACCCUUUUAUUACAAAGUUAUGCAGGAAAAGAUUGAGGCAACUAUCAUUUAGAAAUAAAAAUCCUUCGUUGGAAGGAGUAAAAUUUACAGUGUGAUUUUUAGUUUUACUUUAAAUGUGCAUAGAAGGAUGGUAUGUAUCUGAAGAACAGCAGAAACUGAACUGCAGGGGAUGAAUCUGGAAUCUAGAUCAGUUUCAAGUUUUUUGAAUUCACUACAAAUCACUUUGGAUUUGCCCUUGUUUCCCUGCUUGGACAUGAAGAAUAACUUCUUUCAGGGACGAUGUCAACCAAUCAAAAGCAUACUCAAAAAAUUAUUGAUAAUCACUUUGAGUUAUGCCAUGUUGAGGUAUUCUUCUGAUGCCUGUGACAUGAAAUUUCAGAUUAGGCGUAAUAAUUCGGGUUUUUUCACAUUUCAACAAAAAUGUAUUUUAAUUUGUGUGAGGUAGCAACAAUCAUUGCAGGGUGGGAUGUUUCCUUCUUGGGAUAUGUUUGUCCUGCAGGAAGUGUAGGCAUUUGGACUUUUUAACUAAGAAAUAAUGACAUUUAGAAUUCAUCUGCUCUAAUAGAACUUCAAAAUUAAUCACAGUAAUCCAUUCCAUGCAUGUAGAAAAUCCAUCUAGAUAAAAUCUUUGCAGCAUUUAUGCUGGGAUGUAUAUAUUAGAGUUUUACAGCUUUGUGAUACAGUACCAUUUUAAAAGAGUACUUGAAGGACUCUUGCAAAAUUUUAAGCCAUUUCUUGACAGUUUGUGCCAUAUGUUGAUGAUAGUCCAAAUGCUAUCAUGUAUUAAAGUCCAGUAACUGCACUUUAAUUAAUAAUGGGUGAUAAAAAAAAAAUCCCAAUUUCUAUGCUCAGUUGUCUAAAUCCUUAUUAUGUGUUACUUUUGUGACUCAACAGUCUGCCAUCUUAGGCUAUUGUACAUCCAGGCAAGUACUGUCAUGUGUCCUUAUGGGGUUUUGGGGGUUAGCUUGUUUUUGUUUGCUUUGUUUUUGUCUGAGAAUUUGUGUUCUUUCAUUCCUAUUGUAAAAUCACAUCGAGAAUACUUCCUAGAAGUCAGUUUAGGCAAGGUUUGAGGAAAAACAGGCAUUUAAUAGGGUUAAAGAAAAUUAGCCCCAUCUUACUGGUUGGGGUAGAGCAAAGAGUACUGCAGUAUUUUACAGGUGACUUUCCAAUCCUCUUCUUCACCCUUCUGUGUAUACAUGUUUUCACUCUUAAGAGGAUGAGGCUUUGGUUCUCAAAGGUGGCUGGCAUAGAUAUUUAUAACUCUGAGAAAUACAAAGCUUUUGGGAUUUUCUGAGGGCAGGGUUGGAUGGGAUGGGCUGAGACAAUUUAUGGUCUGCCUCUGGUCUGGCUUAGUGCUUAUUUUUACUAAACUGACAGAAGUCUGCAAAACUAGCUAAUCUUCUGGUGAUGUGCAGUAACCUGAGUCAUCCUAGGUGGGAAUGAGAUGAUCAGAACUCAUCUGAAACACUCCAUGGGAUCACAUCUGUGUGGGGAAGGGAAGUGGGUAGAAUAAUCUAUUCCAAAGGUACAGAGUCUUCUAGUUUGUAUCUUGUUUCUUGUAACCAUGCUACAGUCUGUGGUUAUGUUUGACAGUAGUGCUGUCUAAACCGGCUUAAAUAGUCUCCUCUGUUCAAACACAACUAUGUGUGGCAGCUGGGUGAAUCAGUUCCCUGACUAGACCUGACUGGAAAACAAUCUUAUUUUUUUUUCUUUUUGGCUAUAACAUCUGCAGAGGAAGAAGAGGCACAGAGAGUGAGGAGUUGAGACUAUUCAAUUGGUAUUGUCACACAUGCAAAAAUACAUCUUUCACUGAGUAGGUGUUAGUUUUUGUGUGCUUCAUGUUCAUUGCAGAAGUAGGAAGACUAAAGUAAUCUCCCUCUUCAUGGUCUCUCCCUGAUAAAGAACUGUGGGUUUUGCUUUCCUAACCAGUUUCUCUUUAAUAAAGUUGCAGCUUUAUACCUCCUCUCCUCAUAUCUCUGUAGGCCUCUGGGGUUUCUCAUUUUUCUCUCAUAAAUCUGUAUGGCCAUUUUGGGAAAUGAGAGCUUCAGUUUCUUUCUUUUUCUCUUGAAGAAUGCCUUACUGUUAUUUCUCUGGAUAUCUUUUAAGUAAUUUACCUUUUCCCUCAGAUUUAGUUCACCUUGUAUGUUGUGUGUAGUAUCACAUGCUCUUUAUGGUGAGUUGACAAAAAAAUGGAACUCUCAAAGCUAAGUAGAAGAUUUGAGUUGCACAUCAAUGCUGCUGACAUGUGAAAGAUGAAGUAGAGGUUAUGGUUUUGCAAUGUUUCUGCAGGACACCAGUUCCUCUAUGGUAAAAUCGCUACUAGAUGAUGUCUUCGUCUCUUUUCCUACAGAGAAGAGAAGGAUGGUAAUCCUCUUGCAUUUUCUAGGAGGGGUGGCAAAGUGGCUGCACAGGGAAGACUUGCAGGAACACAAAGGAUGUUCCUUAUGCCCUGAGGACCAUGAUAUUUUAUGGGAGGGAGUAGAGGGGGAGAAAAGAGGACUGGACAAGAGCCUAGUAUUCAUUAACAAAGGAAGCUUUCAGAAGCUGAAUCCAGCAGCGUGGAAAGACAUCAGAGGCCACCAGACAAUCUUAACUCUUGAGCUGAGUUUACUAAUGAAAACUUUCCUGGUUGUCUUUGAUUACUUUUUGCAUACACCUAUAGUACAGGUGUUUCAGUGUGUAACUGGAGAGGUGAGUCCAUCUGAUGUCCUUUGCCCUCUGCUGCUGCAGGGGUGGUGGUCGUUUUGAAAAUGGUUUAACUGUCAGAAUAAGAAGAGGAACAGGUAGUCAAGAGUCAGAGUUCUCAAUUUAUUUAUUUAUUUUUUGUUGGUUGCCCUAACAAAAGGAUGUGAAAGCUUCAACCCACAGCCUGUAGUUCCCUGCUCUUAAUACUUCAAGGCUGGUUCUUAGUGCUGAGGCUCCUGUGCUUGUCGUGGUAUCUGUAAUGAGUCUGUAGCAAUGUGCUGUUUGGUUCCCUUUGCUGCUGUGUUUGUGUGACAGCAGGCAGCUUGCUAUGUUACCUGUGUAAUAAACUUCUGAGUUCAGCCUGCAGCCUUGCAAGGAUAGGCUAGUCCUGCAGCUGUUAAACUCUCCACAGAGAUUCAUGUACACAAAGCUCUUUGGUGAUCUGCUCGUGCUUAAUGUGCUGACUAACUUGCAGGUCAGUUUUGAAACUUUGUCGCAGAUUAGUCAGAGUGAUGGAGUUCUGUGCUUGUGCACUUCAGAUGGAGAGUCUUGUGAUCAGAAGAGUCCUCUCAGCCUGUGCCUUGUGUCCUGUAGUCUUGGGCUUAUAGAGAAAUAUUUUUUUAUAUUUGAAUGGAGAAAAUGGAUUUACUUUGGUUUAAAGAGCAACCUGACUGACUUCUUGUCUUCUUUGGGAGUUAUUUGGUCCUCAUUGUGAGCAAGUUGAAUAUAAGCUAAUGUUACAGCAGACCUUUGUCUCAGGUUUGGUCAUCUCCUGGGUUAAGGUCUGUCAUUGUGACAAAAACGAUGAGAGCUGCUGUUUAAGUGAUGCUUUAUCAUGGACUUUAGGUGUAUUUCUGAGACCAUGCAUAAAGAAAAUUUUUGCAGAAGUGGAUGCUUAACUUCCAUUUCACUUUGCAAAAUCAAGAGAAUAGGAAAGCAUGGGGGUAAUUACCUUUUCUCAUCUAAACAAACUUAAAAGCAAUCUUCUUAAAGCAGUGAUUCCAUUUGCAUCCUUCAGAAUAGGAGGAGCAUUGCUACUUUUAUCUAGCUUUCUCUCCUAUUUUAAAGUCAUUAGUGAAACUUAACUUUAUAUGAUACCAGAAUCUCUCUUCUGGGGUUUCUCUCAAGGGUCUUACUUUUAUCUUAUGAAGAAAAAAAAAAACAUCUGGCAGUGUUCACUUCCAAAUUGAAAAAAACUUUUCUUAAAAAAAACUACUGCACUUUUGUGCCAGUGAUCUUUUCUUGAUCUAAUAGUCCUCUUUGGUAAGUAAGAGGAGUGUUCCUUGCUGGUUUUAAAUGCCCUUUGGAAAAAUUGUGCUCUUAUUCAACUGGAAGUUGAAAGUUUCAGUUACCUUAGUGGUUAUUCUUUAUCUGCAUGCUGUACCUUACUAUCUUUCAAAAUAUUACAAGAUUAAGAAAAGGAUGAAGACAUGCGAGGGAACAUAUUGCAGAAAGUGUUGUGUAAGACAAGUGCACUGAGUCUUUGUCAAAACGAAGUGUCAAAGUCUCUUGAAGGGGGAAAAAGUAGUUUUUUCCCAAAAAUAUUUGCCAUGAAAUUUUAGUUUCUUCUAACUUAUACUUGGUGGGCAAAAUUGUAUCAAGUGUAACACUAAAUUUGGUAUUCAUGGUUAAAUGCCUAACUUCUGCCCACACAUUUCUCUUGGCUUUUUUAUACUUUUCUGUCAUCCUUGUCAAUACUGUGCAUUCAUACAAAAUAAGAAAAACGUAAUCUUCUGUAACUGUACAGUAAGAUGCUAUGAGAACUUAGUUCUUGUAUCUUACAGGAGUAUUUUUGUUAACUCACAAAAUCUAAUGCCUUGGUCUGGCCUCUGCAGUUUUCCUUGAGUGAUGUACAGUCAUUUGGGAAUUAAUGGCUUCAGUGCUCAGUUGACAUAGGCCAUGCAGAGGUCCAUUUUGCAUAUGAUCUUUUGAAUUCAGCAGGGAUGCUGCAUUUAUUUCUUGAACAGCCCUGAACUACUGGGAGAGCUGUGUUUUGCCAAAGAUCUCUUAAAACAGUGUUUUUCAAUCUGAAGCUGGCAAGAAGCAACUGUGGAAAAACAAGGCUAUUGCCAAUAGUUUAAAUUGUGUGGCAUUUUUAUGCUUUUCAGGAUUCCACAACUUGAAAAUUACUGCUCUAAAUGAUUUGGAAAUGAGGGCUAUUUUUCCUUUCCAAAGUGGCUGUAGGUGUUAAGGAGUAUGAGCUGACACUUAGUGAUCCAGUAGACUAGUAUUGAUUUUUAUCUUUCCUUCUUCUCAUACUUAGCUAUUUAAAAGUAUAUUUUAUCCAAAAAUGGAUAUCAUGGAGGAUACUAAGUCUGGAAAACUUCAGUUUGAAAGCUGACUUCUGAAAAAAGGUUAGAGUGGUGUUAAGUUUACAGAACUGCACUCUGUGAACGUAGAGCUUCUGUAUUUUCCCUUCCAAGAAUCUUGCUAUGAAGGCCAAACUCCUGCUAGUUUGUGUUAGAUCUAAAGAUUUCAUUACAUUCCUCCCUUACACGGUUGUGAAAGGAGCUUUAAAUAUGCAGGCUUGAGCAUAAACUGACGUAGUGUCCAUGCAGUGCAUUGGCAGAUGACCUAAAACAACAGGUAAACCACCUUUCGGGUCUCGAGAGGACAUGGAUUUAUUUGUUUUAAUGAGUAGAAGACAGUUGAAGUAUAGGAUGGAUGGUAAGCUGUUUGGUAAUCCCUUAGUGCACUGCUGUUCUGGGUAUCAAAACCCAAAUAGUCUCCACCCUGGCCACUGUCCACCUGGCUCUUUUUUUGCUAGAACCAUAGCUGAGGUCACAGUUUGAGCAUGCUAACAGUACAAAAUUGAGUAGAGUUCAGCGGUUACUCUGAUCAACAAGUUACUCAGUUUUAAAAUAGAUUAAAAUUUGACUUUGUAAGUUAAAGAUGUUGCAGAACUGUAGUUGACUUUGCCAUGGAGGCUGCACUCUUUUCCUAUGACAGAUUGGUUCUUGUUCUUAAAUCAUCUGUUUGCCUGUGACUAAUCUUGAAUUUGUAUCUUACUGCUGCUUGUACUUUGAAGUGAAUUCUGUGCUCCAAAUAAGAACAGCAAACAGGACUUUACAUUUUCUCAAUUCUUUGUAGCCCAAGGACUGCUCCUGGCGCUAGGGUAGGAAAUGCCUUACACAGCUUGGUAUAUAAUGGGAGGUGCUUGAGAGGAAGGCAAGAAGUCGAUCACAGCUGCUUUGGUCUAUACUUACUGGCAUGGUGAUGAACUUUAGCAGCUAAAUGCACUUGUGAUGACACCUCACAAACUUCAGAAAGUAAGCAGUUAUUUUUGGAAACUUUUUUCCCCUCAGGACUAAAACUACUAAACCUACUUAACAAAAAGUCUAUGCAAAAGCACUUUUUCCCAAGAAAUUGACACCUUCUGCUUAUCAUGUUUGUGGGCAUUUCAGCAUCCCAACCUUGUAUCCCUCUUGAUGUUCCUUCUUGUUCUACUAGUGUCUGAAAGUUGGAAGGCUUUCCAUAUUAGCUGUAAGGGAAGAACAGUUAUUUCCUAUUUAGUUAGGGGAAAGAGAUAAGCAAUCCCUUGAUCUCAUCUUUAAGGCAGAUGGAUCUUUGCUCUCAGCAUGCCAUGGUGCUGCCUAGGGGAGUCUUCAUGAUUCUGCUGGUAAGCAGCAAACAGAGCUAAUUUCUGAGUUGGUUUGUACUAGCUGACUUGAAGGGUUAAGAGUGCUGAAUUUAUUGUGCAGUUUUGAGAUUCUGUUGGUGUAAAAAAUUUCUUUAAUAAAUAAAUAAAUAAUGCUCUGAACACUGCUUUGCUGCCCUGUAGUUUUGCUUGUGUAGCUCUAUUUAGUCUGGUUUUAAGCUGGGUUGUGAAUACAAGGUUUAAUAAGCCUUGACUCAAAUGAGGAAUCGCAGGUUAGUGUGAACAGAGGCUAUGGGACCUUAGCUGUGAGUGGGUCAGAAUGAGAGCCAUGGAUGUGGGUGUGUGGAGGAAUCCCUGGAUCAGGGAUGUCCUUGCCUAUGAGCUAGAAGCAGUCUGUUCUCAGUGGCAGUGAAAGGACACCAGUGCCUGCAGGAGCAUGUUGUGGUUAUGUGUGACAAAUGAGGCUCUCCUGAGGAUUAAUUCCUGCUUUCUGUCAGUGUGGCAGCCAGUGUGUAAAUGUGCUUUGGCUGUGGUGCAAUAACUGCCUCACUCUCUGCUGUCAGUCCACACUCCUGUAGGACUGGGGUCUAAAGCAGCUUGAGUCAGUGGUCUUAGGAAAUUGAUCUCUUGCUUCAGAUGACCUAACAGAAGGUCAUAAGCUUACUCUUGUUUUCAAAGUGACAUGUAAAAUACUUGUCUGUGCACUUUCAAACAUCUUGGUACAGCAUUGUUUAACUCAGGUGGCUUCUCUCUGCUAGUUUUUUUUGUUUGAGGGGAGGUAGAGAUGAAAAUUAACUAAUAGACAUCAUGCACUGAAAUAUCCCAAGAGUUUUUCUUCUUGGAACCAGUGAAGGAAAAUUAAUAUAUCUUCGAAACUAGGUCUAUUGAAAAUCCAGACUUAGCAUUAAUGAGGAUGCUUCACGAAGAAUGCUUUUAGAAAAGGAGAUGAUGAGCUUUAAUAGCUGUGUAAAGACUAAAUUCUUCCAAAUACAUCUUAAAGCAUUCUUGGGGAAUGGUCAAAAUAUUUCCCACUAUAGAGAAAAAACAGUUGAGGUAACUAACUACCUGAUCUUCCCAUCAAGGAGAAAAAUGUAUUCUUUUGAAGCCUUUGCUUAUUAAAGUUCUAAUGUGAAACUUGAGGGGGCAGUGUUUGGGGAGGCACUGGUGGGACAAAGUAGCAGGUUCUGGUGGGUUUGGUUUGGUUUUUAGUUUGGAUGGUUGGGGGUUUUUAUUUUGUUUUGUUUUUGUUGUUUUAAGCUUAAAAAGUCAAAUGGAAGUCACCAUCAAAAACCUAUUCUAAAAACAUACUGUUUUCAGUUAAAGAGUUGUAGGUUAGGACAGCAAAGGGAUGUGCCUAGAUAGGUUCUCUGAUUUUUUUUUUUAAAGGAAAUUAACAGAAAAUGAUCAUCAAGAAUAUCUAACAAAAUUACUGUUGGCUUUUGAACCGUGAGUUAUUUUUUGUCCAGAAUUAAGUUAAACAUUGUGCUAUUUUUUAAACUGUAUUGCAUGACAUUAAGCAAGUUUCUAGAGGGUCAGAUUUCUGAAAAGGCGUGAAAUUACUCUCUUUGCAGUAUCACUCUUUUGGUGAAAAUUAUUGAAAUGUAUUGAUUAAGUUUAUAUACCCUAGAAGGGAUGUUUGGUGUUUGUAGAAGAUGCUAUAGGAAACAUUAAGUAGUCUUUUUUCCUUUUUAAAAUAAGGGAGAGAUUAUGCUAGAGCAACUGUAAUAAAGCAUUUCUCCCUGAUAUUAAAGAAACUGCAAGUCCAAAUUUUGGUCCUUGCCAAACGGCAAUUUAGUGUUACAUUUAGAGUAGAUACAGGUUUGGGCAAUGACUCCUACCAUAAGUUCUGAGAAAUCACAAUUGUAUGUCUUUUAACCUAAAUGAGCAGUAUGGGAGAGUAUAGUUGUUUAAUGCUGGCCAGUAUGUAAGAUUAUUCAGGAAAUAUUUUGGUUCCACCACAGGUAAAUAGAAUAUGUGUCCAAGGGAUGCAUAGCAGUAAAAAUGAAUUUCUGUAUAAAAUACAGUUCAUGGUUGCACAGCAGUUUUUACUGUCAUAUAGAUUUAAAAUGCUGCAGGAGAAGGCUGAUCAUACCAUUCCCUUUGUGCCACUGACCUCACUUUGUGUAAAUGUGUGCUGGGUUGGAUCAGGAAACUGAUCCCUGAACCAUCUUGUUGUGUUACUGUGCAAAUGUGAGAUGAGUGAGCAUCUGGGGGGGUGGGGAGGAUGAGUGGGAUCAGCUCUUUCAGCGGAGAGGUGGAUUUAUCACGGAUUAAAGUGCCAGGUGAUCAGUAAUCAUAGCUUCAAAACAUCGGAGACUUGCUGCAGAAUGAACUUCCGUGUUACAGUAACCUUCAGUUUGCAGUAGUCUGUCUUCUAGUGACUUGGGAUAAGUGAAUUGUGGAAUUUUGUAUUUUCUUACUCUGCUUCUCAUUGUUAACAAUUUUUGUACAGUAUAUUUUGCAGUCAUACAUUUUGCAUGCAUUUUACUGCUACAUGCAUUUUACUGCUGUUUAAUUUUUAUCACCCUCCUUUAAUGCACUUGAGUCAGGCAAGCCUCAUUUUACUCCUGAUGCUGCCUUAUUAGUCAAUGUGCCUUAAGUUACAGUAAGUCUUGAGCAGAUAAAGAUCUUUAUCCAACAUGUUUUUCAUAAAAAUUAACAGGAAGUUAUAGAGAAACUGAUGCUGUAAUUGGGGCAUUAGGGUCAUCACUACUUAGCAAAAAGUGUUUUUCAGGGAUGAAAACAGCUGAAUCUGUCUUUAUAUGCCCUAGUAUUCAUUCUCAUAGAUACUUCCUUGCUCUGGUUCCUUUGACAUAAUGGUAGUCUAAAUUCUCCUUUUGAACUAGAGUCAACACAUUUUUGAAUGUUGGCCUAAAGGAAGGGAUUCUCUUUAUCUCUUUGGGUAAUCUGUGUAUUUGGGCUUUAGCAAAAUGACAACAAUCUCUGCUAGGGUACCUUACACUUUAGGUUUAUGAUGCCAGUUAGGGAGGUGGGCCAGUGCUGAAACAGCUUGUUUGGGGUCAAUGUUCUCCCAAAGAGCAGGGGCAGUGGGUUUCUAGCCUCUAGAACCUCCUGGACCUCAACCCCUCAUUACACCAGACUUCAGAGCGUUCUUGGUCUAGUGCAGUAUCUUCCAUUUUCAGUGGAAACAGUCUCUACCACAGAGGGAUGCAUAGGUUUGGGCUGGGCUUUUUAUGUGGUUGGUUAGUCAGGAUGCAUAUUCAGCAUGUCUACUGGUUUAGGGAUUUUGUGUUAAGACAAGGUUUAAAACUGUCAUAGGGCUUGCUUUCAAAUGGGAGUCCUUAGGGAGGAAAAGCAGAUAGAGCUAAGGGCAGUUAGCACUUGUGCCGAGUUCAUCUGAGAUUCAUCAGCCAGCAGCUCUUGAUGGCUGAGCAAGAAAUAUGACAGGGCUGUCAGACCAGCCCUGUGUUCAGGAGAGAGAACUGGAGCAAGAUCCACUCCCCGCUAACACCUGUCUGCUCAUUCAGCAGUGGGUCCCAUUGCCUUCCAUAAGAGCUGUGUGAUCUGUGUGCUGGCCUCUCCUGCAGGAGCAUGGGUCUGUCCUGCUCCUGUGUAUCUCACCUGUUCUCUUCAGCACACUGUGCCAAAACCUAUGGACCAUGGAAUAUUGUUGACUCUAUCUCCUUUCUGUUUUAAUAGACCUUCAUUUUCCAGCAUCUUUACUGUAACAUGCAUGUCUCAUGGUUUUCAUUUGCAAGGAGUCCAGUGGAGUUACACAUCUGACAAACUGGAGUAAUUGCAUGCUGUUCUUUAACAGAUUUUUAAGCAGCAGCUACGCUUCUACUUCUGAAAAGAAGUUAUCUGUGCUUUGCUGGCUAUGCUUUUCAUGAUGGCAUUAAGUCAUCUCCUUGUAUUGCCACUUACACUUUUGCCCUUAUUGGAAUUGGGAUUCCAGGCUAGUUAAACCUUUGUCUUAACCCGGAACCCCAUUCUCAUGCAAGGUGAAUAUUUGUAAGUUACUGCUUAAAAAAAAAGAGACAUGAGGGCAUUGUGUGCAAAACCACUUAUCCUUUCUGCAGUCUCAUGAACUUCUAGCAGUGUAACUGAUGCAGUGUAGGAGUAGGAAUGAGUGAUGGAGUAGAGAAGGAAAGGGCUGCAAAACUUGCUGUUGCUACUGCUCCGGAGACUGUGCUUUGAAUCAGUAAGGUGAUUGGCCUUUGCCUCGAUGACGCUUGCCUCAUGCUAGCACUGGUGUUUUGAAAGGGGCAAAAGAUUACAGAGAUACUUUGCUAGUGUCCUCUGGUGCAAAAUCGGAGACUAAUUUUUGUUACGUCUGAAGCCUUGCAUCUUCCUGAAAUACACUGGGCUCUUCAAUGAGAUUAUGUGAUUCUUGGUUCUGUGCUGUCUUUAUAAUUUGAACUAAUUUAAAACCCAACCUAUGUUUCAUGUACCUUUGGCAUGAGGGAUACCUGCAACUUGUUGUUUAAAUCUCCAUUGAAAUAUGCAGGGCUAACCAGUUUCUGUCACAGAUGAGACAAACUGGUAGGAGCUGUUUUGUUCUUGCCAUCACACCACAAGCAGCAGCUGAAGAUGUGCCUAGGAUGACUUAUUUCAGAAAUCACAUAGCUUAGCAGUUGUCAAGAGGAGGGAAAACCUCCGGUCUCCUGUUUGCUUAUGAUGAUGGGAUGCACAAACUGGAGCAUAAGUUUCUAUGCUGGAGCUUCUCCUAAUAUUCAGCAACAUGAUAGGCAGGUAAAACGUGGUAAAAUGUUGAACCUUUUGGUUUGGGAUGUUAGUUUUUUGUGGUGUUUUGGUUUUGCUUUUUUUUCCUCUGUGGACUGCCAUGAGUAUAAAAGAUCUACAUUGCCUCAUGCAACCCUUGUUACCAAGGGAAACAAAUUCUGUAAAAUUAGCCUAUUUUGUUAAUUUGGGAAUGAAUCAGAAUAAAUGGUUCUUAGUUUGUGUCUAGAAAUAUUUCUUAGAAACAAAGGCUUGACAAUCUUGAAGAUGUAUGCUGGUUACCGUAACUUUUACAUUUACAUUUGUCUGCUGUGGGUGGGGAGUCUCUUGUAGCCUUUCUAAAGGCAGAGUCCAUGUUUUCCUCUUGUUAUCUUUGCUAUUAAACCUUGAUAGUGCUGACAUCUGCCUUGAUAGAUGAGUGAAUGUCAUUCUUGAGAAAAGUAAAUUUAAGGCAAAAGUAAAUGGUGAAGGAUUUUUUUUAAUUCUUCUUUCUUUCUAGUAGUUGAACUAGCUGUUUUGGUUUAUUUUCUCAAGGACCACAGGAAUAAAUCUGAACAAUGCAAGGUUGAAUUGCACCUGUAAAAAUGGAUUCAUUUUCUUAGCUUCCUCCUGUUCUGCACAAAGCCACAAGCAGCAGAAGUACUGGAAGAGCCUGCUGCGUAGGCUUAUGCUAACCGUAUGUUAACUUUGCUUAAAAAAAAUUAAACCCUACCUCCUGCAGAACUUGAUUUGCCAUUGAGAAGAGCUUUCCACUUGCUGGGCACGAAGGAGAAUUUUUCAGUCCCUGGCAAUUGUGGAGAGAGAUGGCUAUUGUUAUUGGCUCAAAGACUGUAGAAAGAACUUUAAUUUCCCUGCUCUGUUUGGUGCCUCUGCAACUCCAGACUGUCUUUCAGUGCAAAUAUUUAGCUGACUGUCCACUGUUGCCUCUUCUAGGUUCCUUUCAUUUUACAUUUUAUUCCACUAUCCUUGUGGUUCUUCUGCAUUGAGGGUUUGGAGUAUUUUUCAUGAGGUGUUUUUGUUUCCAAAGCAAUUUUAUUUUUUCUCUGGGUCAUUUAUGUAUUUGUCUUCACUAAUGUUUGCAACAUCUCCGAACAUAGUGAAUUUACUCUGUGAAUUUAACUAACGUGCUGUUUACCCUUUCUUCCAGAUCCAGUUUCUGAUCCUACUUCCCCAUUUGGGAGUAUGCAAGGGACAAACACAUCUCUUUGCGUAGCUUGACUGGAUAUCCCAAGACUAGGAUGAAAAUAUCAUCUGCCAAAUGGAAAAGGACAAUCGGUGGGAAAAGAAAUGUUCUUUUCAAGCUUCUAAGAGCAGUGACAAUGGAGAGAAAAAAUACUAUAAAAAGUAGGCAGCUCCUUUUUCAAGAUUUUGUUUUCAAUGUAUUCUGCAUGAUUAACUGUACACAGUUGCUCUUUUGGAGCCCUGAAUGACUGAACACAACAUCACAGGGCUUAAACUGCCUUUGCUGCAUUGCACUUUGCAUUUGGGGGGAAUAGGGCUCAGCUUUAUGGCAGUUUUACCAGUCUCUUAGUAGAAUUUUUGAAUACAUUCAUACUUCCCUUAUUUGCCUUUUUUAAUGUCAAACAUUGCACAUAAGAUGUUCUGCUGUUGCUAUGCAACUGCUAAAUCCAA